CUCUCUCUCUAUCAGACAGCAUAGUCCUGGCUGGCCUGGAGUUUAUAGAGCUCUUCCAAGUGUGCUAGGAUGAAAGGCCUAUGCCACCAGGAACAGCCCUGACAGUAUUUAUAAAAAAUAAAGCCAAUUCACAACUGGGAAUACAGCCCAGAGUGCUUACCUAUGUGUGUGAGAACCUAAAUUCAGUUCACAGCACUGUGGGAAAAGUCAUUUUAAGAAGAGUACAUUGAGGUAUAAUUCACUUAGAGUAAACUGCACACACUAAGUAUAAUUUGAUAGAUUUUGAUGGCCAUGCCCUGGAGCUAUCUCUGUAACCAAGCUAAGGAGAUUUUCACCCUAAAAGAUUCUGUGCAACCCUUCAUAGACAAACCUUCCCUUAAACCUCAUUGCCAGAUGUCCUUGAAAUUUCUAGUUUUGUAGAAUUAAUGCUGGAUAUAUUCAUUUUUGGACCUCUUCUGCCAAGAAGUUGUCUCCAUUGGUCUAUUAGCAAUUUUGUUGGGGUAAGUUGUGGAGGUCCCGUUUUGAGACUUGGGUGCUACUCAUUAGGUCUAUGAAUUAAAAGUUUCCUUGAUCAUCACCUUCUUGCAAGAGUUCUAUAUUUUACUGAGUUUUCGAAAAAUAAAUGAACCAAAUACAUAAUGUCUCAAUGACGAUGACCUUCGGCCACUGUUUGGAUCUAAAAUAUCCCUGAAAGGCCAAUGUGUGGGAAGACGAUCCCCAAACCCUGCCAGGGCUGGAAUGUACUGGAAACUUUAAGAAGUGGAGUCGGGUGGAAGGAAGUGACCUCACUGGGUGCGUGCCUUCCUCGCUCUGCUUCUCCACCCGCCGUGGGAGCCGUUUUCCUCAGCCUAGCACUGUUGAUGCUCAUUCUGGCCCCGGUCCCAAAGUAAGCUGCUCAAAGCGGCGGACUAGACUGGUCAGCUUCCUCCCUUGCCCCAGAACACACUUCGUUUUUUCUUAGAGGAAGAGGCUUCCAGCUCUCCUGCGUUCUGCUUUCCCAUGGCUGAAGUGACUCCCCGGAGAGCAGAGGUCUGUGGACCACCCAACAUGUGAAGGAAAUUGCCCCUGGUAUGGACAUGCCAAUGUCUGGCUGUGUCUCCGCUUCCUUGGGAUUUGGCUCGGCUUCUGUCCACGGGACUAAUGUAACCCUCAUCAACUGAAUCUUUCUGAACUCAUCAGCAAGCCAGGGGUUGGAGGAGGCCCUCUGAGCAGCCCUGGCAGAUCACUCAGGGUCCUCUUUGUUGUGGCGCCCUGGGAAGAAAGCCCCACUAGGAGCUUAGUAGUCACAUAGCAGAGUAAGGGGGCUGUCUGUGCCUCUGCCAGUUGCCACUCAGGGGCGGCUCCCUGUGCACUCUGCGGGGUAAGACAUCGCCUGAGCUAAGGCUGCAGGCUUCUAUUGAGGUAGUGCACGAAGCCCACAGCCAACCCUUUCUGUCUUGAUUUGUAAAGCAGUACCACCCUCCUGCCUUCAUCAUGUCCAGCUGGGACCUGAGGGGAACUCUGAGCCUUGAGGCCUGGGAGUUCGCCCUCAUCUUGGUCUCUGCUCAACCCUGGUCAAGGCUCUGCCUGGAGUUCCCACUGCUGCUGUUGCUCCUUAAAUGGACUCACUGGGCGUUGGGGAUGGGGACGGAAAGCUCACGUCAACAUUCCAAGUCCCAACUUGAGGACAGUUUCCUGGGCACAGGGGACCCUGGGGGAAAAUUUGUACGUUGAACUCCUAACCCCCAAAUUCUAGAAUGUAGGAAGAGAUGAGCCCUUUAAGAGUGGCUCAAAAUGAAGUCAUCAGGGUGGGUCCUAAUCCAAUUUUAGUGGUGUCAUAAGGUGACUAGGCCCCACAGAAGGUUCCUGGAGCACAUAGUGGGGAACUCAUAGAGGAACGGGCCACCUGUAGGCCCAGGAGGCGGGGUCAUAUAGGACCUUUCUAGAGCUGCCUAAGGCUUUGCCUUCACAGAUGCAACCACCCACGAGUUCAAUGGAUUAAUGCAGCGCCUUAGGGGUGAGUCUAUUGUAGAGGCCAGUUUGGCUAGAUCUUUUGCAUAUUAUGCACUACACCGCUUAGAAAUUCUGCUAGCAAGGCCAUUGCCAAGUCUUGACCUUUUACCGGAGCCAUGGGCCAAAAUAAUACAACUUAACUCAUGUCGUGGAGUUGUGUUAUAAGUUUACAGAAAAUACACUCAGACAAGUGUUAAAAUUCGUAUUCCAGGAUCGUGUCUGGAUACCAGGGGCUCAAAAAAUGCCUUUCUCAUUAUUCUCUGUAAAAUAAAAGACUGGGAAAAGUGACUGUGAAGUGUAUAGACUGGAGAGAGCUAGGAUAAACCCUUAGGCAGCUGCACACCCCAGACAAGCAAAUACACAGUUCUGGACCACAGUGGUGUUGCUGAAGGGUGAGAGCUAAUAUCUUAGCUCCCAGCACGAGGUUCUCACUGAUCUGGGGACUCAUUGGUGAGGAAGUACAAUUUUACAUCCACAUUGAUCUAACACUAUCCAGUUAAAACUCAAACGAUUUUUUAAAAAAAAGGCCAUCAUCAAUGAUCUGUAGAAAAAGGUUAAAAGCAACACAGCUACUCACUUUCACACAGGAAUAAGAAAUCCUGUUAAACAUUUAUUGAGAUUCAACUCUGUUGAUCACACAAUGUCAAACACUAGAAAAACGAAGCAAUACAUGUUGAUAGAGCAAAAUAUAUUUCUCAACAACUCAUGAAAUUUGUCUCACAAAGUAUGGCAUAGAACAGUCACAGUAUUAAGUAUUCAAGUAAAGUUGUGUGUUAAAAUAGGUGCACAGGGGUAAUAAACACUGGGAUCUGGCCUUCAGAGAGGACAACCCAUGGGACCCCAUUUGAAGGUUGUUACAUCACAGAAUAGGCUUGCUUACAUUGUGCGUCUGAUCUUUAUUCUCCUACACCCCUCCCCCCCAGUCCUGAAGAACAAAGAUAGAGAAAGAAGAAUCACUUGCUACGAGGCCCUGCUUCAAGGUCCCUCAGAUGGAAAAACAGACGAACUCUGGUACUUCAGUGAGCCCCACUACCUGGGAGACAUGACUAUCAGGCUUAUGUCAUUUGAGUUGAUAAUUACUGCCAAGAAGUCCUGCUAACCAAUGCCCAGAAAAUGUGCAGUUUUCACAGAGGGUGUUUAAUAGGAUAAAAUGAUGACUCAUAAACACGGGGGUGGGGUGGGGUGGGGGCCGGGAGAAGGCCAGUGUCUCCGGCUUGAUCUAGGUGAGGGGCUGUAAACCUUUUUUUUAGCAGCUUUGCAGUUAAUCCUUUAGGCUCUGCAGGCCAUACUGUCACACCACAGCCACUCAGGCACAGGGCACUGUGGCUGUGGUCAUCCACAGGUUUCAUGAAAUAACAGUUGUCACCCACCCCAAUCCAUUUGAAUAGAUUAAAAAAAAAACAAACUAAAGUCCCAAGUUAGACAAAAUCAGGUGGCAGGUCAGAUCUGACUCACAGGUUGUGGGUCAUUAGCCCUUGUCCUUGCAUGCCUGUAUAGACAGCUUCAAAACUCCCAUCUGUCACAUAUCUUAAGGAACAGCAACAGAGAUUCACCAGCAAACACUCCUUAGUUAGGUGUGGUAGUUCCAGUACAGGAAGUAGGGGCAGGAGAGUUCCAAGGUGAGCCCCAACUACAUGAGACCCAGACUCAAAAACCCCUAAAAAUAAUAAAUCUACUUAGUUGACUUGGUGACAACAUGCCUAUAGUUAUAGAUAUUUGGCGAACUAAGGAUCAUUUGAGCCCAGAAUUUAAGGCCAACAGGAGAUCGUGUUUAAAAACAAUAUAAAAUCCCAAUGUUCACUCUUUGGUGAUGAUUAAUUCCAUGGUCUCCAGUGUGCUAAGUAUAUACUUCACCACCAAUAGCCCCCCACCUUGUUUUAAUUACAGAAAUUGAUUACACUUAUUGUAACAAAUGUAUGGGCCGGCGAUCUACCCAGUGAAUCAAACAUGCACACACAAAAA
rnacentral:sRNA from 1 species